AUUGAACGCUGGCGGCAGGCCUAACACAUGCAAGUCGAAUGGUAACAGGAAACAGCUUGCUGUUUCGCUGACGAGUGGCGGACGGGUGAGUAAUGUCUGGGAAACUGCCUGAUGGAGGGGGAUAACUACUGGAAACGGUAGCUAAUACCGCAUAACGUCGCAAGACCAAAGAGGGGGACCUUCGGGCCUCUUGCCAUCAGAUGUGCCCAGAUGGGAUUAGCUAGUAGGUGGGGUAACGGCUCACCUAGGCGACGAUCCCUAGCUGGUCUGAGAGGAUGACCAGCCACACUGGAACUGAGACACGGUCCAGACUCCUACGGGAGGCAGCAGUGGGGAAUAUUGCACAAUGGGCGCAAGCCUGAUGCAGCCAUGCCGCGUGUAUGAAGAAGGCCUUCGGGUUGUAAAGUACUUUUAGCGGGGAGGAAGGGAGUAAAGUUAAUACCUUUGCUCAUUGACGUUACCCGCAGAAGAAGCACCGGCUAACUCCGUG
rnacentral:rRNA from 1 species